rnacentral:tRNA from 1 species
AGCGAAUUGGUGUAAUGGUUAGCAAGCAGAGCUUUGACCUCUGAGGUAAGAGUUCGAUUCUCUUAUUCGCUG